rnacentral:rRNA from 1 species
GUAUCAUGGCUCAGGAUGAACGCUAGCGGCAGGCUUAACACGUGCAAGUCGAGGGGCAGCAUAAUGGAUAGCAAUAUCUAUGGUGGCGACCGGCGCACGGGUGCGUAACGCGUAUGCAACCUACCUUUAACAGGGGGAUAACACUGAGAAAUUGGUACUAAUACCCCAUAAUAUCAUAGAAGGCAUCUUUAUGGUUGAAAAUUCCGAUGGUUAGAGAUGGGCAUGCGUUGUAUUAG